UGACUUUGAUCAAAAUCAAACUGCUUCAAGUUUGACCAAGUUUAUAGGAAAAAAAGUAAUAUUUUCGACCCAGAUAAAUUUAUUAUAAAAAUAUAUUUAAUUAUUAAUUUAAUAAAACUAAUUUGGUAAUGCAAAUAUUACUAUAUUUGUCUAUAAACUUAGUCAAAUUUGAAGCAGUUUGACUUUGACCAAAGUAAA
rnacentral:pre_miRNA from 1 species